rfam:Capsicum annuum cultivar Zunla-1 chromosome 5, whole genome shotgun sequence
ACAUCAUGAUUAGGGCAUUUCAUACGAUUAUUCUUUAAUCUAACCUAUGCUUCAUACCAAUGUUCUCCAUGGAAAUGAUAAAAAUUUGUGAUUUUGUCCUGCAGUU